ACUUCCCUCUUCUCACCGGCCUUUCUUUUUUUAGUCAGGGGUACCGUUUUUUGUGGAUUACUUCUUGGAACUCGUUUGACUUAAUCUGGGCAAGAAGCAGCAGAGCAAGAUGGCCAAUCAUUUGAUAAUCUUGGGUGUUUCCCUUCUCUUGCUCAUUUUCCUUAAUGGAAUUCAGGGCAUUUAUGAUCGUAGCUACAUGCAGCAGAUUUUAAGCUCAGCCCAACAAGAUAAACAUUGGUUAGUAUCCAUCAGGAGACAAAUCCAUGAAAACCCAGAACUCAGAUUUGAAGAACACAACACCAGUGCUCUUAUUCGCAGGGAACUUGACAGGCUUGGCAUCCCUUAUGAAUACCCACUUGCCAAAACUGGCGUCGUCGCCCAAAUUGGUUUCGGUUCUUGGCCAGUCGUUGCUCUCCGGGCCGACAUGGAUGCUCUUCCCUUGCAAGAGCUGGUUGAGUGGGAGCAUAAGAGCAAAAUUGAUGGUAAAAUGCAUGGAUGUGGGCACGAUUCCCACACUACAAUGCUCCUCGGUGCUGCCAAGUUGCUUAAUGAGCGUAAACCCAAACUUAAGGGAACUGUGCGACUUCUUUUCCAACCAGCAGAGGAAGGAGGUGCUGGUGCAUCUCAUAUGAUAGAAGAAGGUGCACUGGGUGACUCUGAAGCAAUAUUUGCAAUGCACAUAGGUACUGAAUUACCCACGGGAAGCAUAUCAUCCCUAUCAGGGCCAGUCUUAGCUGCUGUGUCAUUCUUUGAAGCUAAAAUUGAAGGCAAAGGUGGCCAUGCUGCAGAGCCCCAUACUAAUGUGGAUCCAAUACUUGCUGUAUCAUUUGCAAUUCUGGCAUUGCAACAGCUCAUCUCGAGAGAAGUUG
rnacentral:misc_RNA from 1 species